rnacentral:rRNA from 1 species
CCGGUUGAUCCUGCCGGAGGCUACCGCUAUUGGAGUUCGAUUAAGCCAUGCGAGUCGCGAGUCUUAGGGACUCGGCGUACCGCUCAGUAACACGUGGGUAACCUGCCCUAUGCUGGGGGAUAACCUCGGGAAACUGAGAAUAAUACCCCAUAGUUCACCAUGCCUGGAACGGUGGGUGGACCAAAGCUCCGGCGGCAUAGGAUGGGCCUGCGGCGUAUCAGGUUGUAGGGGGUGUAAUGUACCCUCUAGCCCUCUACGCGUACGGGUGUUGAGAGACAUCGCCCGGAGAUGGAUUCUGAGACACGAAUCCAGACCCUACGGGGUGCAGCAGGCGCGAAAACUUGGCAAUGCGAGAAAUCGUGACCAGGGAACUCCAAGUGCAUCGGGUAAGACCGAUGCUUUUCUUGACUCUUCAAAGGUCUUGGAAUAAGGGGUGGGUAAGGACGGUGCCAGCCGCCGCGGUAAUACCGGCGCCCCAAGUGGUAGUCGCUUUUAUUGGGCCUAAAACGUCCGUAGCCGGUCUGGUACAUUCGUGGGUAAAUCAACCAGCUCAACUGGUUGAAUUCUGCGAGCACGGCCAGACUUGGGACCGGGAGAGGUGUGGGGUACUCUCAGGGUAGGGGUAAAAUCCUGUCAUCCUGAGAGGACCACCUGUUGCGAAGGCGCCACACUAGAACGGAUCCGACGGUCAGGGACGAAGCCUAGGGGCACGAACCGGAUUAGAUACCCGGGUAGUCCUAGGUGUAAACGCUGUGGACUUGAUGUUGGGGGCGCUUCCGAGCGCACUC